rnacentral:tRNA from 1 species
GCCUUCGUGGUGUAGUGGUUAGCAGGCUAGACGCAUAUUCCAGAGGUCCGUCGUUCGAUUCCACGCGAAGGCG